GCUUCUUUCUCGCCAUAUAUAUCACGGUCAGUAUACACGUGGCCCGAAGCGUCCCCGCCAUGUUCUCGCUGAGUUUUUGGCGUUAAAGAUUCAAGCUGUGUCAACUUCGAAUGUGCAUCAUAAUUUCAGCUAACCAUAUAAAUGGAUUAAUCAGGAUAACACACGCAUACCGAAAUGAAUUAAAUUUUAUUUUCUGUGUAAAUCUCCAGACUGGAGGACACGGAGAAUUAUCAGGUUUGGCGGCGUCGUGCAACGAUUGAGUGGUUACCGGUCUCCAGUUGAACAUAGCAAGAGGUGCACACAU